rnacentral:rRNA from 1 species
GAUGAACGCUGGCGGCGUGCCUAAUACAUGCAAGUCGAGCGAACAGACGAGGAGCUUGCUCCUCUGACGUUAGCGGCGGACGGGUGAGUAACACGUGGAUAACCUACCUAUAAGACUGGGAUAACUUCGGGAAACCGGAGCUAAUACCGGAUAAUAUAUUGAACCGCAUGGUUCAAUAGUGAAAGACGGUUUUGCUGUCACUUAUAGAUGGAUCCGCGCCGCAUUAGCUAGUUGGUAAGGUAACGGCUUACCAAGGCAACGAUGCGUAGCCGACCUGAGAGGGUGAUCGGCCACACUGGAACUGAGACACGGUCCAGACUCCUACGGGAGGCAGCAGUAGGGAAUCUUCCGCAAUGGGCGAAAGCCUGACGGAGCAACGCCGCGUGAGUGAUGAAGGUCUUCGGAUCGUAAAACUCUGUUAUUAGGGAAGAACAAAUGUGUAAGUAACUAUGCACGCCUUGACGGUACCUAAUCAGGAAGCCACGGCUAACUACGUG